rfam:Aspergillus fumigatus Af293 chromosome 4, whole genome shotgun sequence.
UCAUGAACAACGCAAAUAACAACAUUCUUUCAAAAGCGUUCCUACGAGGAUUAUCCUCCUCUACGGGAGAGAUAGGCCGAUGAAGUACGGAAAUCGUCAUAUAGAAUGGAGAGGGAUUGUGGGAUAUCCGCAAAGUGUCGAUCUUGGGUGCAGUGUCUGACUUGAUCUCGUCUAAUGGCGAGCUCGGUGGAAGGGACUGCAAUGAUUGGCUCUACAG